GCGCUCACGUCAGCAGCACAGAGACGAAACCGGAAGGACACAGAGAAGAUUAGCCCGGCCUUUGUACAAGGAUGUGUUCCAUAUUAAAAAAAAAAAUAAAAAAAAA
rnacentral:snRNA from 1 species